rnacentral:tRNA from 1 species
UAGGACGUAGCAUAAAUUAAUGUAUUUCACUUACACUGAAAUGAUACUUUCGGCACGAAGUCGUCUUAA